rnacentral:rRNA from 1 species
UACGUAGGUGGCAAGCGUUGUCCGGAAUUAUUGGGCGUAAAGCGCGCGCAGGCGGUCCUUUAAGUCUGAUGUGAAAGCCCACGGCUCAACCGUGGAGGGUCAUUGGAAACUGGGGGACUUGAGUGCAGGAGAGAAGAGUGGAAUUCCACGUGUAGCGGUGAAAUGCGUAGAGAUGUGGAGGAACACCAGUGGCGAAGGCGACUCUUUGGCCUAUAACUGACGCUGAGGCGCGAAAGCGUGGGUAGCAAACGGG